AGGACGAACGCUGGCGGCGUGCUUAACACAUGCAAGUCGAGCGGUAAGGCCUUUCGGGGUACACGAGCGGCGAACGGGUGAGUAACACGUGGGUGAUCUGCCCUGCACUUCGGGAUAAGCCUGGGAAACUGGGUCUAAUACCGGAUAUGACCUCCUAUCGCAUGGUGGGUGGUGGAAAGAUUUAUCGGUGCAGGAUGGGCCCGCGGCCUAUCAGCUUGUUGGUGGGGUAAUGGCCUACCAAGGCGACGACGGGUAGCCGACCUGAGAGGGUGACCGGCCACACUGGGACUGAGACACGGCCCAGACUCCUACGGGAGGCAGCAGUGGGGAAUAUUGCACAAUGGGCGAAAGCCUGAUGCAGCGACGCCGCGUGAGGAUGACGGCCUUCGGGUUGUAAACCUCUUUCAGCAGGACGAAGCGCAAGUGACGUACCUGCAGAAGAAGCACCGGCUAACUACGUGCCGAGCAGCCGAC
rnacentral:rRNA from 1 species